rnacentral:tRNA from 2 species
GGUAAGAUGGCUGAGAAUAGGCAUUAGACUGUAAAUCUAAAGACAGGGAUAGUACUCCCUUUUUACCA